CUCCGGGCCUCCCCCUUUGGGGGGCAGGGCCCGGGUGUUGGGUGCGCCGUCCUCGGGGAUCUCCCGUUGGAGGACGGGCCUGAAACGCAGCGGCGGCGCCGCGUCCGGUCCUGGAGCGUUAUGGGGCGUUUGUCACCCGCUCGAGGGGGGACUGGACCCGGUCGCCGGCCUUUGGUGGACGUUCGAGAUCACAUCC
rnacentral:misc_RNA from 1 species